UAGGGAAUCUUCCGCAAUGGGCGAAAGCCUGACGGAGCGACGCCGCGUGAGCGAGGAAGGCCUUCGGGUCGUAAAGCUCUGUUGUCAGGGAAGAAGGCGCGCCGUUCGAACAGGGCGGCGCGGUGACGGUACCUGACGAGGAAGCCCCGGCUAACUACGUGCCAGCAGCCGCGGUAAAACGUAGGGGGCGAGCGUUGUCCGGAAUUACUGGGCGUAAAGGGCGUGUAGGCGGCCUGUUAAGUCAGGGGUGAAAGACCGGGGCUCAACCCCGGGGGUGCCUCUGAAACUGGCGGGCUUGAGUGCUCUAGAGGGCAGUGGAAUUCCCGGUGUAGCAGUGAAAUGCGUAGGGAUCGGGAGGAACACCAGUGGCGAAGGCGGCUGCCUGGGGAGUCACUGACGCUGAGGCGCGAAAGCUAGGGGAGCAAACAGG
rnacentral:rRNA from 1 species